rnacentral:lncRNA from 1 species
CUUUUGUUUGGAUAAAAAAAAAAAAAAAAAGUUAUUUCUUCUUUAUCCACAUCGGAUUAAUUGUCGUCGAAUUAAUCGGUUUAUUAUUUGGAAUUUUAUUCUCUUAAGUUCGAAAUUUGUGAAAUAAAAAAUUUUGAAACGAAUGAACUUAAAAGGAGGAGAAGGAAUCAACGAACAGCAAAUGGUUCAUUCAAUCAAGUAUGAUUAUCUGGGACCCCGGGCAUCGCGAUAGUUCACACUGUAAUUACUCAAUAUUCGAUUCAAGAUUACCUGGAGUUCCCCUAUAUUCCCGAUACUUAUCUUUCAGAGCUCCCUCCCCCGCCCUAGUGUGGUUUGGAUGGCACGUGACCCUGUCCGCCCGUUCAAACUAAUCGCCUUUGGGAAGAAAAGGAAACAACAUCUCUGGUCACCUUUCGACCCCGGUUGUAAUGGCAUGUGCUAAGGAAACCGAAUCCGCUUUUCUCCGUACAAGAUAUUUGCCGAGACGCAUCUGUCGGGAUUUAUUAGUCGUAUGGUUGGCAGCGGGGGGGGGAAGAAAGCGGAGAAGGGACUAAAUAACGAUUACCAUAAUGACGGUAAAUUGCUUUGGCAGCAGUAAAUGUCGAUUCGGUUCCCACACCAUUGGGCCAAACUGGGAGCGGUAAAGAUAAUUAAUAUGGCUCCCUCCGCAUCCUUGCUUGGCUAUUGUUUCGGUAGGACUUGACGAUAACAUUCCACACCUGCGACGACUGGGUGAUUUAUACCGACUAUUACCGUUUUAGUUCGAUGCCGGCCAGUUUAAUCUCUUAAACCAUCGACUGAUCACAGGGAACUAGUAUAUACUAUCGGUUGUUGGCCUUCUCUGAUUCAUUUCUUAGUGCAUCUUGACCAUCCUGGUUUCGGUUUCAAGUUUAGUUUUAUAUCUUCUCCAACUGCAAGAGGACAGGAGCUUAAUUGGAGGUGUAAAUAGUGGGGGAUAAUGCUAGCUGUUUUCUUCCCUCUUUGUGCUAGCUGCCUUCUAUUAUAUCCUCUUAUCUCUUUCAGGGCGUAGUCCGAAAACCGGCUUUAACCUAUUGACUUGAGUAACCGAAAAGGGUUACUCGAAUUACCUGUUUUUUUUUCUUCUAAAUCUUUGGCAGUUGGUCUUCGAAUAUAAAUUAACAAAGUAUCUUCAACCAGUAAAGAUUGUGAUUGAGAAUUAUCCGCCAUAGUAGACCAAUUUUUUCUUUUUUAUAAAAUUGAUCUAGAAAAUGGCCAUAAUUUAAGAUAGUCAAUUGCAAUGUGCAUUGUUUCAUCCUGUUUGUUAAUAAAAAAAAAAAAUAUAUAAAAAGAUAAACGAGCUGGGACUACGCCCUGUUGGUGAAAAUUGAAUUUCUUUAUUGGCCCGUAAUUCUAUGGUAAUGGAAGACCCGCCCGUUGUGCAGCUAAUAUUUCAUGAAAGUUACGUGGAUGCUAAUUGGAAGGCAAACACGGAUGCUAUCUCUGCGGUUGGGAGGUCUAAAGCAACCGUAGUUGUAGUUCUUAAAAAUCUUUUGUGCAGUUUGUUUCUGAUUUCACUGUCUUGCCAAAACAACAAAAAAAUCAGUUAUUCAUCACAAUAAUUUUCCUGGUGGCUUUCUGAAUGACGAAAGAUUUACAUUCGUAUCAAUAAUUUAUGUCUGUUCGCGAUAUAUUCCGC